rnacentral:rRNA from 1 species
AGAGACUGCAAGCGUUAUUCGGAUUCACUGGGCGUAAAGGGUGCGCAGGCGGCCGUGUGUGUGAGGCGUGAAAGCCCGGGGCUUAACCCCGGAAUUGCACCUCAAACUACACGGCUAGAGCAUUGGAGAGGGUAGCGGAAUUCACGGUGUAGCAGUGAAAUGCGUAGAUAUCGUGAGGAACACCAGAGGCGAAGGCGGCUACCUGGACAAUUGCUGACGCUCAGGCACGAAAGCGUGGGGAGCAAAAGGGAUUAGAUACCCCUGUAGUCCACGCCCUAAACGGUGCACACUAGGUCUUGGCGGAUUCGACCCCACCAGGGCCCAAGCUAACGCGUUAAGUGUGCCGCCUGAGGACUACGGCCGCAAGGCGUA